rnacentral:lncRNA from 1 species
AGGGUCCAAACAGGCAUGUGAGGUGCCUUUGGAAAGCCCCAGGGCACUGUGGCCAGGGUUCACAUUGGCCAAGUUAUGUCCAUCCAUACCAAGCUGCAGAACAAGGCGCAUGUGAUUGAGGUCCUGCUCAGGGCCAAGUUCAAGUUCCCCGGCUGCCAGAAGAUCCACAUCUGGAAGAAGUGGGGCUUCACCAAGUUCAAUGCCGAUGAAUUUGAAGAUAUGGUGGCUGAGAAGCGGCUCAUCCCAGAUGGCUGUGGGGUCAAGUAUGUCGCCAUUCAUGGCCCUCUGGACAAGUGGCUGGCCCUGCACUC